GAUUUAAAUUUAUCAUAAGUUUAUUUAGCUUUUUAUUCAUGUGGGUGUUUUGUUUUUCAGUAUUAAAAAGAUGGAUGUAUAUAGAUUCUUAGUGUUAGUGAUCAAGUAGUAUUGGAUGGAAAACGAAUGCAUUAGACAAAUAUUAUGGUAUAUUUGGAAAAUACCUAAUGUAUUAUUUGUUUGUUUCAUAAUAUGGAUU